rnacentral:rRNA from 1 species
UACGGAGGGUGCGAGCGUUAAUCGGAAUAACUGGGCGUAAAGCGCACGCAGGCGGUCUUUUAAGUGAGAUGUGAAAUCCCCGGGCUUAACCUGGGAAUAGCAUUUCAGACUGGGAGUCUAGAGUACUGUAGGGGGGGGUAGAAUUCCACGUGUAGCGGUGAAACGCGUAGAGAUGUGGAGGAAUACCGGUGGCGAAGGCGGCCCCCUGGAAAAGUACUGACGCUCAUGUGCGAAAGCGUGGGGAGCAAACAGG